rnacentral:ncRNA from 18 species
AGUCAGCAUGCGAUGGGUUAAGAGAGGGUGGCGAAAGCCAUCAAGCCGAAAGGCCCGGAUCCUCUCUCCAUGGGCUGGCCAGCGG